rnacentral:rRNA from 1 species
AUACGUAGGGUGCGAGCGUUGUCCGGAAUUACUGGGCGUAAAGAGCUCGUAGGUGGUUUGUCGCGUCGUCUGUGAAAUUCCGGGGCUUAACUCUGGGCGUGCAGGCGAUACGGGCAUAACUUGAGUACUGUAGGGGAGACUGGAAUUCCUGGUGUAGCGGUGAAAUGCGCAGAUAUCAGGAGGAACACCGGUGGCGAAGGCGGGUCUCUGGGCAGUAACUGACGCUGAGGAGCGAAAGCAUGGGUAGCGAACAGGAUUAGAUACCCUGGUAGUCCAUGCCGUAAACGGUGGGCGCUAGGUGUAGAGGUCUUCCACGACUUCUGUGCCGUAGCUAACGCAUUAAGCGCCCCGCCUGGGGAGUACGGCCGCAAGGCUAAAACUCAAAUGAAUUGGCGGGG